rnacentral:tRNA from 1 species
AAUACUGUGGUUAAGUGGUAGAAUGAAGGAUUUAAAAUCCUCUUUUAUUAAACCACUAUUA